rnacentral:lncRNA from 1 species
GAGAGCUAAGAACUCUACAUUAUGUUCUGUCUCGUUUCUUUUUUUAUAGCUCAUCAUAACCUAUGCCUAUUUUUCCCUUUGAAUCUUUCAUAGAUUCCAGUCAUAGGCCAGAUUCAAGACUCAACCCCAAUUAUUGGGUAUAAGAGACACAAUAGGUAUUCAAUAAACAUCGGUUGAAUUGAAUUAAAUGGGAUUGAAAUUGGCCCCACUAAGACAUAGAUCUCUUAGGGGUUGUUUGGCUGCAAAAACCAGAAAUCUAGAUGACUAGCUAAAGCUAAACAAGAAAAUUUACUGUAAGGAUACAUGGAUUUCUUUAUGAGAAAAUGCAAAAGGAAGUGGAAACUUACCAGGAAUGAAAGAGAAUGCUGUUUAUAAUUGUAAGUGCUCUCAUUUCUGAAGAAUCGUUCUAUUCUUCUCCCUCUCUCUCUCUUUCUCUCUCCCCUUUAAACUUUCUUGACUUAGUGUGCAUGAGAGAAAAUGGCAUUCCAAACCCCACAUAAACUCCUCUUUCAAAUGCUUAGUAUUUGUCAGCUAUAGCCAUUCUGUUCUCAACACAUGGGUACUGGCUUUCUUUCAAGCUUUGACAGACAUCAUUGUCAAGCAGAAUUUUUUCCACUGAGCUUGGAUACUGCUUCACAUUCUUUUUAAUUCAGAGCUCCAGACAGCCAUGACUAGUUGUUGAAAUGGCCAUCUCUGUUCUAAUUCCUCUGUCAAUGGGUAGUCCUUUAAAUAUUUUAAGAUAGCUCUGGGGUCUUCUGUGAAUAUAUAAUUCUAAGGCUAAUAUCUCUAAUUUCUUGAGUUCUAUAACAUGGUUUUGAACCUACAUUUAAGUUGCAACAAAACCUCAUUUAACUCAUAGAAAUUCAGUAAUAUUUGUGUUGCACCAAACAACAACAACAACAGUGAGGGAAGAAUCCCCUAUUCCUUUCCUCCCAUUUACACUUGUAGGAGAGGAAAAACCUUUCUCUAAUCUCCUAGAUUCUGUAGCUGAGCCUGUGAAUCAAGCAGACAAAAGACAUAUUAACAGGAGAAAAGCAUACAAAUUUUAUUUGAUGUAAAUAUUUUUAUGUGGCAUGAGGGGCUUCAUAGGAAAGAAGCGAAAACCCCAAACAAGCAGUUAGACUCAGGGGUUAUAUACCAUUUUAACAAAGGGCAAAAAAUUUGUGGAGAAAUGAUAGGACAAAGGAAGGGUGUCCAAAAAGGUCCUAGGGGCAGUAAUUUGUGGGAAAGUGACUAGAAAAUAUAUGAGAGAAACUAAUGGAAGAUAAGGGUUAUUUCAGUAAGGUUUGUUUGUGCAGACUUAUCUCUGCACCAUCUCCUCCCCAAGUCCUGUCUCUGAUAAGAGUGUUCUCUUCUUCUUGGUAUCAGAAGGGCAACUUUCUCAUGGGAAAUAUGCCCUUCUUUUAAGCAGAAAGGGAAAGGGCAUAGAUCCUUUCUUGCAGCUGCUGUUUCUCAAUUGUUUUCAUCUCAAAAUAGUAUGCAAAAGUGGCGUAGUUUGAAGUGGCAUUUUUCUCGUCCCUUUCACAAUCACCUUUCCCACUGGAUUCAUGAACUAGAGAAAGGGUGAUCCAGGGAAAGGGAACUCAUAGAAAACAUACACAGGAAAACAAAAGGAGUUAAUUUAUGCCUUUUGACCUUAUGACCCAGGUCCUCGGUCAUAAAAUUGAUUUAAGAAAUGUUCAAAGAGGCCGGCGUGGUGGCUCACACCUGCAAUCCCAGCUCUUUGGGAGACUGAGGCAGGUAGAUCACUUGAGGCGAAGAGUUCAAGACAAGUCUGGCCAACAUGGUGAAAACCUAUCUCUAUUAAACACACAAAAAAUUAGCCAGGUGUGGUGGUGUGCGCCUGUAGUUCCAGCUGCUUGGGAGGCUGAGGCACGAGAAUCACUUGAACCUGGGAGGUGAAGGUUGCAGUGAGCCGAGGUCGCACCAGUACACUCCAGCCUGGGCAACACAGCAAGACACUGUCUCAAAAAAAAAUGUUCAAAGAUAAAGUUGACUAUACAUAAUUUUAGUGUGAUGACUUUAGAAUUUGUGGCCCACUUAAAAUGAGAUGCUGCUCUGUUUUCUUCUGAAGAUGGUCCUACUUGCCCUCUCUCACUUAGAGAAUAAUCUCUAUGGGUGGAAGCAGGACUCCCCAUGUGGUCUCAGCAGCAGAAGGUGGUUUCGUUACCAUCUUACUAGCUCUAGUGCUAUAGUUCCACAUAUACUGCUCAUCAGCAGUAUAGGGAUUACUGAAAGCCCAAAGUCCUGCAUUUUCUUACACUUAUUCCAAUAAAACCAGGAAAUAAUGCACCCACUCAUAACAUGAACUCAAAUAUGAUUCAGCCAACUCCCAUUUAACCCCGUUCUCAUUAACAUUGCAUUAACUUACCCACUGCAGUAUUAUACGGUGAUUUAUUUAUUUAUUUUUUACUAUAAUUUACAAGAUAACUCAAGCAAAAGUGCAUUAAAGAGGGACCAGUACCAAGAAGGUACUCAGUAAAAUCAGCAACCUCCACAGGUGUUUUAUUGUGCACAGGUAUAGGCUUUUGCUUGAAGAAUCACUUACUUUUCCCUUGUUGGUUCUGGUUCAUAGUUCAAGCCUGUCAUAACCUUUUUUGGCCCAGGUUCCAUCAUCCAAUGUAUUUGCUAUGCCUCCAAGGUUUGCAUGCCAGUUGGCUUUUUGAAGGCAAUUUCUUUUAUUUUUAUGCAUCCAAAUCUGGGUGAGAGAGGGGAAGGUAAGGCAUACCUGGAGAAAACCCUAUACUGGGAGAUAAAAACUUCUCUCACUGUAUAACACAGAGUACUUAAAAACAUUCUAAAAUGUUAUUUAAUGAUUUUUUAAAAAUCACAUGUAGCAAGCUGAAACAAUAGAACACAAUCCCCAUAACUGGUCUUCAGUAACAUAGUGAAGAUUUUGUAUUUCAGCUAAUUCUCAACUAGCAAAAGAGAAAUAAGUGAACAGGAGAAUUAAUAUUUUGUUGUUUUUCAUCCACUUUCUCUCCAGUUUAGGGAGCAUUGAGGUCAAGGAUCUGCCUCACUAUCCUUCCACCUUUGGCUCUGCUUGCAGUGGCUCUGGUUCUAUCCAUGCUUUUACUAAGCCUGCAAAUUCUGUAAAGCAGGAAACUACAAAAACGUUACAAAAGGCUCUGUCAAAAGAUUCUUCAAGUGAUUAAGGAUAGCACACUCUGCAUAGGAAAUGAAGCCCUCGGAGAGAUUUGAAGAAGCCCUUGGAGAGAUUUGAGAUAUCCCUAACGGAGAAAGAAUUGACCUUCAUUAUCUCAGGAAGGCUUUUGACAUAAAAGAGAAAGAGAAGAAACUGAUUACUUAAAGAGGAGAGAGAGCUGUAAAGAGAACUACGAGGAUGAGCAUCAGGCUUAAAGUGGCUUAAUUUAUAAACGGAUAAUUUAAAAAUAGAAUUGGAACAUUAAGCCUUAAUAUGACCUAUACUCCUCGCAAUCCAGAAGUGAAGGGAGAAAUGUGGACAUGAGAGGGGCACAGAGGAAGACUACCUGAAGACACACAGAGAGAAGGUGACCACGUGGUUGGAGUGGAGCAUCUACAAACCAACACACAUACCAAGGAUUGCUGGCAAGUAUCACCAGAAGCUAGAAGAGGCAAGAAAGGAUUCUCCCCAAAGCUGUCAGCAAAAACACAGCACUGAUGGUACCUUGAUUUCAGACUUUUAGCCCCGAAACUGUGAGAGAGUAAAUUUCUGUUGUUUUAGGUGACCUGUUUUUUGGAAUUUGUUAUGUCAACUGUAGGAAAUGGAUAUUGUACAACGAUUGGGGCAUGACUUUGCAAUGGUUUACCUGCUCUCAGAUGAAAAUUUUUUUUUUUUGUUUUUUUUUUAGAUGGAGUCUUGCUCUGUUGCCCAGGCCAGAGUGUAGUGGUGCCAUCUUGGCUCACUGCAACCUCUACCUCCCGGGUUCAAGCGAUUCUCCUGCCUCAGCCUCCCGAGUAGCUGGGACCACAGCACACCACCAGGCCUGGUGAAUUUUUGUAUUUUUAGUAGAGAAAGGGUUUCACCAUGUUGGCCAGGCUGGUCUCAAACUCCUGACCUCAAGUGAUCUGCUCGCCUCAGCUUCCCAAAGUGCUGGGAUUACAGGUGUGGGCCACCACACCCUGUCUCAGAUGAAAGGUUAAUAUAAUUAAGGAACAUCUUUUUUGUUUUUUUUUUCAGAAAUUGGAAUGGGGGAGUAGCUGAACAGAAAAGUCCAUCUUGUUCAAUUCCCACAAGAACAUUUCUUUGCAAUAUUAUUGGCAGGAAUAUGCAGUAAAGUUCUAAUAACUAUUUACUCCUUUCUUUGAAACUCUAUUCAGUUAUAAUGUGUCCUGUAAAAAGUAUGACACUGAUUUCAUAGUACCAAUUUUAGCCUAAUACAUAUUUAAAUGAUUCCCAAUGUAUAAAGAUAUUUUAGUAAUAAGAAAUUAUUUAAGGAUCCCAAACAUCACAAUAAACAUAAAGCCUAGUUUUAGGUUGCAAAAAAGUAUCAAACUUUAUAAGUUUUAGUGCAAAUUAAGAGAAAUUACAUUCUAACUACACUAAUAACUGAAAACUUCAUAUUAGGCAAAUAAUGUCUUCAACUACUCAAAUUAUAGGAGCCCACUUCAAGAACCUCAGUAAGAAGAAAUUUUGAAUGGUUUAAAAAUAAUAAAUGCCAUGACAUUUUAAAUGGAAAUUUGGCAUAUUUUUGAGAUAAAUAUGAUUGGAUACAUGUGUGUGCCAUUCUUUUAUCUCUUCUUACUUUUACUGUAUCUCUACUUUAAUGAUGACAAUAAUAUGGCUACAGACAUGAAAUGGUUUAUCUUUCUUCUUUUCUUUCACUCUUUCAUUUAAAGCAUUUAUAUUAUUUUUUAUUGAUGUCAAUGUUAACAUUUUGGCAUCCUUCCCAAGUAUAUUGCAAGAAAUACAUCAAUAAAAACUUAAAUUUAAAAAAUAUGUAGUCUGGGGCCAGAUAAUAAUGGCAUAUUUCUUUAAAAUUAGGUAUAAAGGAGUACAGACGAGGUCAAAAUUCUAAAAUUGGAAUCUUGCCAUUAACAAACAGAACUGACAUUCUGAUACUUCUAUCUGCUGUGGACGUGACACAGAGACUUACCAAAGCCAAGAUACAUUUAUUCAAGGAGGAGCAACUUGCCUUUAUACUUAUACCUUUGUUAAUAACUUGUUUAAAGCAAUCCUUUGUUUUCUUUGCAUAUUUGAAUUGAUUUGCUAAAAGUUAUCUACUGUUAAAUAAGCAAAACUCAAAAUUUUCAAGCAUAUGGGACUUGUUCAGAAUCAGUUUUUAGUUUCUUUUUCAGGAUUUUGUACAAGUUGCAAGAGAAGAGACACAAAAUUAUCUUAUUAAUUCUAUUGCAAUAUGGAGAUACAUUUUAAACAAAUGGAAAUAAUCAAUAUUAGUAUUAUCUGUAUAUUUGUGUGUGUGUGUGUUGAUCUGACUAUAUUUUUCUUCAAAGGGAAAUCACAAAGGCCAAGUGUGUUUAUCAGGUAACUCACCUUAAGAAAACUUGUACUAUGUGAAAAGUCAAUUUCUUUAAAAACUGUCACCAACUCAACCCUGGUUUGUAAGUAGAAAAAACUAUCAAUUAUUUUUUAACAAUAGUAAUACUCCCAAGGUAUAUACUUCUGCCACAAAAAAUUAAGAAUAGUUUACUUAGCACGUUUUGUCAUUGUGGAAAUCAUUGAGAAAAAUCACAGUGGAAAGUUAUUUGAAAAGGCAUAACUGUCAUUAGAAAGAAAUUAAGAAUAAAGAAGGCAGGCCUGGCGUGGUGGCUCAUGCCUGUAAUCCCAGCACUUUGGGAGGCUGAGGUGGGUGGAUCUCCUGAGGUCGGGAGUUCAAGACCAGCCUGACUAACAUGGAGAAACCCCAUCUCUACUAAAAAUACAAAAUUAGCCGGGGUGGUGGCACAUGCCUGUAAUCCCAGCUACUCGGGAGGCUGAGGCAGGAGAAUUGCUUGAACCCAGGAGAUGGAGGUUGCGGUGAGCUGAGAUGGUGCCAUUGCACUCCAGCCUGGGCAAAAAGAGUGAAACUCCACCUAAAAAAAAAAUAAAAAUAAUAAAAAAAUAAAGCAGUAAAAACAAAAUGUUUGCAUGUGUCAUUAUCUUUGUAUUGGUCGUCUAUUUUGUAAACUUUCAUCAUUACUUUAAGCAUUUCAGGCCACUUCUUCAGUCAUUAUUGUUGAUUAUCAUUUAGUCCUCCAAUUCCAUCAGAGUGUGCUAAGGUAGUAAAAUGAAAUUAGGCACAAUGCAUGGCAGAAGGUAUAGCAAUUUGAAAUGUCUUCCAAAAUCAAUUAGAUAUUACUUUGGGUUAGCAGUGGAGGUGGGAACAUAGUUACAGGUAAUUGAGAAUUGGCUGUGAAUAUGGGCUCAUACAUUGUGUUUUUGAACAUGUUGAUAUAAUUCUGUGAAAUGAGAGAAAUGGCCUCAAAUCACCUGGCUGCUUCUGCUUUAUUUUAUGGUUAGAUAUUCAACUGCCAUCACAGACUACAAUAGAGGAAAGCUGCUAUUAUUUAUCAAAGACUAGACCUGCUAGCUGAAGUGCAGUUCACCAUUCACUUGGGUGGUGGUAUGGCUCACCUCCAAAACACUGCUCAUGAGUUGACCUUAUUAUUUUUAUCUGCAUGUCUUGACCUAUAGCGGGCUUAAAAUGUCAUUAUCAACCUAAUGGAAAUACAGAUUUUUCAUUUUUUUCCCUUUCUCUGCCUUCUCUUUUUUCUUUUCUUUUCUUUUUUUUUUUUGGUAUGCAUAUGUAUCAUAAUACUCUUUGGGUUAAUCAGGUCCCAUAGUGGACCUCGACAAUACCUGAGGGGAUCCUAAGUCAUCAGAAUAUAGGGGGUGUGAGUGGUCUCCCUUUAUUUCUGGAAUGCUUGCUUUCUUCGGAAAUCAUGAAGACAUCUUUAUUUGAAGCCUUGUUCAUCCUUUAAAUUGACUCGCAGAUUUGCUAUUAUCUAGAGCGUCUUGAAAGGUGUUGUGCGUAUCUGACAAAUGGCCUCAUUAUUCAUUAACUUUCA